rnacentral:rRNA from 1 species
ACAUGCAAGUCGAGCGGAUGAAGGGAGCUUGCUCCUGGAUUCAGCGGCGGACGGGUGAGUAAUGCCUAGGAAUCUGCCUGGUAGUGGGGGAUAACGUCCGGAAACGGGCGCUAAUACCGCAUACGUCCUGAGGGAGAAAGUGGGGGAUCUUCGGACCUCACGCUAUCAGAUGAGCCUAGGUCGGAUUAGCUAGUUGGUGGGGUAAAGGCCUACCAAGGCGACGAUCCGUAACUGGUCUGAGAGGAUGAUCAGUCACACUGGAACUGAGACACGGUCCAGACUCCUACGGGAGGCAGCAGUGGGGAAUAUUGGACAAUGGGCGAAAGCCUGAUCCAGCCAUGCCGCGUGUGUGAAGAAGGUCUUCGGAUUGUAAAGCACUUUAAGUUGGGAGGAAGGGCAGUAAGUUAAUACCUUGCUGUUUUGACGUUACCAACAGAAUAAGCACCGGCUAACUUCGUGCCAGCAGCCGCGGUAAUACGAAGGGUGCAAGCGUUAAUCGGAAUUACUGGGCGUAAAGCGCGCGUAGGUGGUUCAGCAAGUUGGAUGUGAAAUCCCCGGGCUCAACCUGGGAACUGCAUCCAAAACUACUGAGCUAGAGUACGGUAGAGGGUGGUGGAAUUUCCUGUGUAGCGGUGAAAUGCGUAGAUAUAGGAAGGAACACCAGUGGCGAAGGCGACCACCUGGACUGAUACUGACACUGAGGUGCGAAAGCGUGUGGAGCACACAGGAUUAGAUACCCUGGUAGUCCACGCCGUACACGAUGUCGACUAGCCGUUGGGAUCCUUGAGAUCUUAGUGGCGCAGCUAACGCGAUAAGUCGACCGCCUGGGGAGUACGGCCGCAAGGUUAAAACUCAUAUGAAUUGACAGGUGCCCGCACAAACGGUGGAGCAUGUGGUUUAUUUCGAAGC